UGCGUAGGAGGCGAGCGUUGUCCGGAAUUACUGGGCGUAAAGAGCGCGUAGGCGGCACGGUACGACCGGUGUGAAAGCCCCCCGGCUCAACUGGGGAGGGUCACCGGUAACGGCCGAGCUAUGAGUGCAGGAGAGGGAAGUGGAACUCCGGGAGUAGCGGUGAAAAUUCGUAGAUAUUGGGAAGAACACCGGUGGCGAAGGCGGCUCUCUGGACCGACACUGACGCUAGGGCGCGAAAAGCGUGGGGGGAGCAAAACAGGG
rnacentral:rRNA from 1 species